AUUGCGCCUUGCGGCCUUUUCCUGCACUGCCCCUGCUGGUGCAUGGAGAUGGUAGUUUCCUGUCACAUUUUCAGUUUAUUAGAGUGUUUCGUUUGGGGCUGGAAGCCACGGGAUUGGAUAGCAAGGAGUUUGGGGGCCAUUCGUUACGUAUUGGGGCGGCUACUGAGGCCUCUAGGCUGGGCAUGCCUGUGCAGGUGGUUCAGAGGAUUGGUAGGUGGGAAUCAAGACGUUAUGUUUCCUAUGUUCGUCCGGAUGGUUUACUGU